GGACUACCGGGGUAUCUAAUCCUGUUUGCUCCCCACGCUUUCGAACCUGAGCGUCAGUACCGAGCCAGAUGGCCGCCUUCGCCACCGGUGUUCUUCCUAAUAUCUACGAAUUUCACCUCUACACUAGGAAUUCCGCCAUCCUCUCUCGGACUCAAGCGUCCCCGUUUCAAAGGCAAUUCUGGAGUUGAGCCCCAGGCUUUCACCUCUGACAUGGAACACCGCCUACGUUCGCUUUACGCCCAGUAAUUCCGAACAACGCUAGCCCCCUUCGUAUUACCGCGGCUGCUGGCAC
rnacentral:rRNA from 1 species